GACGGGAAGAGCUUGCUCUUUUCAGAAUUGAGUGGCAAACGGGUGAGUAACACGUAAACAACCUGCCUUCAGGAUGGGGACAACAGACGGAAACGACUGCUAAUACCGAAUAAGUUCCAAGAGCCGCAUGGCCCAUGGAAGAAAAGGUGGCCUCUACCUGUAAGCUAUCGCCUGAAGAGGGGUUUGCGUCUGAUUAGCUGGUUGGAGGGGUAACGGCCCACCAAGGCGACGAUCAGUAGCCGGUCUGAGAGGAUGAACGGCCACACUGGAACUGAGACACGGUCCAGACUCCUACGGGAGGCAGCAGUGGGGAAUCUUCCGCAAUGGGCGAAAGCCUGACGGAGCAACGCCGCGUGAGUGAUGACGGCCUUCGGGUUGUAAAACUCUGUGAUCCGGGACGAAAAGGCAGAGUGCGAAGAACAAACUGCAUUGACGGUACCGGAAAAGCAAGCCACGGCUAACUACGUGCCAGCAGCCGCGGUAAUACGUAGGUGGCAAGCGUUGUCCGGAAUUAUUGGGCGUAAAGCGCGCGCAGGCGGCUUCCCAAGUCCCUCUUAAAAGUGCGGGGCUUAACCCCGUGAUGGGAAGGAAACUGGGAAGCUGGAGUAUCGGAGAGGAAAGUGGAAUUCCUAGUGUGGCGGUGAAAUGCGUAGAGAUUAGGAAGAACACCGGUGGCGAAGGCGACUUUCUGGACGAAAACUGACGCUGAGGCGCGAAAGCGUGGGGAGCAAACAGG
rnacentral:rRNA from 1 species